UAUGGAUUGUAAACUGCUUUUAUACAGGAAGAAACACUACUUCGUGAAGUAGCUUGACGGUACUGUAAGAAUAAGGAUCGGCUAACUCCGUGCCAGCAGCCGCGGUAAUA
rnacentral:rRNA from 1 species